GCAUUGACUGCACCAAGUUCUCGCGAUUUUAAGCUUAUCCGCACAGGCUAUGCAAACGUCCGGGCAGCACUGCGCUGUGUACGGUUGUUCGAACAACCAAAAGAAGCGCAAUGCAGCAAGAAAAGUACAGUGCAGCACGCACAAUGUUCUGCAAGAGGACUGCGGCUGCAACAUGUACCUGUUGCAUCGGUUUCCUGCCGACGCGGUACUGAAGCAUCGCUGGAUUAGCGCUGUAAAUCGUAAGGGAUUCGUCCCUACGGAGUCGUCGCGCGUCUGCUCGGUUCAUUUUGUCGACGGGAAGCGGACAUCUGAGAAUCCAGAGCCAAUGCUUCAGCUCGGAUACGCGAGGAAGGUCUUGAAGGGGCGGCGGCGCAUCACGAAACAAGACGUCCAAGUGCCGAAGAAGAGAGCAAAAGAAAACCUUGUGCCACAGGCGGCCCCGUCUCCCAGUCCUCCUCUGACGAAUGUAUGCACGACUGUCAGACUGAUUUUUCGAAACGCGCCGAAGCGCGUUUGAUAUCUGUUUAUGUUCAUCUUCAAGUACUACACAUAUCGAAAUGCAU